UACGUAGGGGGCUAGCGUUGUCCGGAAUCAUUGGGCGUAAAGCGCGUGUAGGCGGUCCGGUAAGUCCGCUGUGAAAGUCGAGGGCUCAACCCUCGAAUGCCGGUGGAUACUGUCGGGCUUGAGUACGGGAGAGGCGAGUGGAAUUCCUGGUGUAGCGGUGAAAUGCGUAGAGAUCAGGAAGAACACCGGUGGCGAAGGCGCUCUGCUAGGCCGCAACUGACACUGAGGGACGAAAGCUGGGGGAGCAAACGGG
rnacentral:rRNA from 1 species